rnacentral:misc_RNA from 1 species
GAUGAAGAACGUAGUGAAAUGCGAUAAGUAAUGUGAAUUGCAGAAUUCAGUGAAUCAUCGAAUCUUUGAACGCACCUUGCACCCUUUGGACUGCUCCAAAGGGUAUGCUCGUUUGAGUGUCAUUGUACUCUCACACUCUCUGAUCCUUUGGAUUUGGGGAGCAGUGGACUUGGGUGCUUGCUGCUUCCUUGUGGCUCACCUGAAAUGCAUCAGUGCAUCUCUCGAUUGGACAUAGUACGGCAUGAUAAGUGUCUUCGCCGGCACCUCAUAUGAGGGUGGCCGAUCGGGAGCUCUGUGCUUUCAAACCGUCUUCGGACAACGCUGACAACUUGACCUCAAAUCGAGUAGGACUACCCGCUGAACUUAAGCAUAUCAAUAAGCGGAGGA